GGGGAUGUGGCGCAGCGGUAGCGCGUUCGCUUUGCAUGCGAAAGGUCAUGGUUUCGAGCACCAUCUUCUCCA